GUAGCUGAUUUCUGUAAAUGAAUGUAAAAUUUAAUGUACAUUACAGCACAUUGUGAAGUCUGUAUAUACAUUAACGACGAAUUUGAGACGAAUAAGUGUAAAUUUAAAACUAUGUACAUGGCGCUCGGCGCCGCAGACAGACGCAAAAUGGCGCCGCCGGUACACACACAUACUGUACCCUGUCUCUUCGUUCCCUAGCUCCCGAGGUCGUGAAUCAGUUUAUCAUGUACACAGGCUCGGGCACUGGUAAGGACUUUAGCUCACUUGACACUGGGUCACUGUUCACUUAUUAUCCUGUGAUGUGGCUGCUUAAGCGUGUUGUGAGCAUCACUCAGCUCUUACUCAUCAACAACCGGCAAAACCAACCGUUGCGUUGCUUUGAGUUAUGUUUACCAGCUGCACCAUGCUUAUAAUAUUAUACAGUUCUCUACUGGCUGAAGUAGUGAGAUUUAAAGAAGCAGGUCAAGUCUUCAAAUUGUUGCUAACCUCUAUAUGUUUUCUCCAGGUCUUUUUAAAUGGACAGCUUUGUCACUGAUAAGUUAACUGAGUGGCGGCUGUUUGAGCUGACAGAGACAUUUUUAAGGCCAUCUGCAGGGUUGAGAAGAAGACUAUCCGGCAUUCAACUGAAGAGUCCUGGACAGCGUUCAUACACCAAAUGUCUGUUGGAACAAAUAUGGUGGAAUACAGUGGCGGCUCGUAACUGCUCAUCCGAAGAUGCGCUAAUUCAAAAUAAGUGUUCAGAUUGUCACGUGUGUGGUUCCCUUCUCCAAAAUAUGUGUCCUGCGUGUCGAGAGAUCCUGUGUGCAUCACGUGUUUUGUCAAAAUAAGUGCCUGCUGCACACGCGUCAAAACUGUUUAUGAUAAAAGAGACGCUCAUGUUCCUAAAAUACACGCCAGACACUUCCUUAACAGUAAACUCUUAUUACGCAUGAGAUUAUGCGAGUAUCUGGCAAACGCGAGCAUCUCUUUUAUCAUAAACCCUUUAGACGCGUCUGCAGCAGGCACUUAUUUUGACAUGACACGUGAUGCACACACGAUCUCUAAAAGCGCAUAACACAUAUUUUGAAAUUACAAACCACACACAUGACAAGCUACAUACAUGUUGUGACGAACUUUGCAUCGAGCGUCCUCGAAUAAAGAAGUCACCGGCUGUCACUGGUGGAAUACCUUCAGCAAUCGCAGCCGUUCCCCUCUGGGAGAUCUUAAGCUGCACACAACCAAUGUUUGAAGACUUAAAGCCUCAAGUUCAAUCCAAUUAUUGAAUGUUGUCAAAUGUUUGAGAGAGAAUGUUUGAGAGUUGUUUAUUUUUCUAUUUUUCCUUUCUAAUGUUAUUACAGUGUGACCUAAAAUAAAUAGGUCCAAGUGUGCGUUUUUAUAUAGAAUUUAAUUGAAUCCAAUAAAAAUUUAAAACUGCU